rnacentral:lncRNA from 10 species
GCCAGGCAUGGUGGCGUGUGCCUGUAAUUCCAGCUACUCAGGAGGCUGAGGAAGGAGAAUCACUUGAACCCGGGAGGUGGAGGUUGCAGUGAGCUGAGAUCACACCACUGCACUCCAGCCUGGGUGACAGAGUGAGACUCUGUCUCAAAAAAAAAAAAAAGACAGGAUCUCACUCUGUCACCAAGGCUGGAAUACAGUGGUGCAAUCACAGAUCACUGCAGCCCCAACCUCCUGGGCUCAAGCAAUCCUCCC